CAGUAGCCGCGGUAACACGUAGGGUGCAAGCGUUAAUCGGAAUUACUGGGCGUAAAGCGUGCGCAGGCGGUUUGUUAAGACAGAUGUGAAAUCCCCGGGCUCAACCUGGGAACUGCAUUUGUGACUGGCAAGCUAGAGUAUGGCAGAGGGGGGUGGAAUUCCGCGUGUAGCAGUGAAAUGCGUAGAUAUGCGGAGGAACACCGAUGGCGAAGGCAGCCCCCUGGGCCAAUACUGACGCUCAUGCACGAAAGCGUGGGGAGCAAACAGGAUUAGAUACCCCAGUAGUCCCUGUCUCUUAUAC
rnacentral:rRNA from 1 species